rnacentral:lncRNA from 1 species
UAUAUUUUAUAAUUUUUAAGAAACAAAUAUGUUCUUAAAUUUGUUUUUUAAGGAAAAUUAUUAUUGGUUGAAUGAUUACAUCAAAGGGAAAUGGAUUAUUUUCAUAUGUAAUUUCAUGCUACCUCCAACAAAGGUUUUAUCCUGAUUAUAUUGUAGACCUGAAUUCAUUUAAAUUUAUGCUGAUUUUUUUAACUUUAGAGACAUAUUGCUCAUAUUCAAGUACAUUUUAAUUCAUGUUAUAAGUAUAUGACAACAUAAACAUGUUUUGACAUCCUCUACUGAAUAUAUUCUUUUUACACCACUAAGCAUUUUUAAAAUUUAGUUUUUUAUAAAAAGGACAGAUAGGCAGGCAGGCAGAGAGAGACAGAGACAGAGAUGACAAGCAUAAACAAGGAAUUGUAGCUGUGGUCUAACAGAUUACACAUUUUUAAGCACCUAAAUUUAGAAAAUUAGGUGGUAUACUUUAUUAUUGAUCAUUUGGGGUCAAACUAGCUAAUCUGGCAACUUAAUUUUCCUAGGGAUUUAUUUGAUGUAAAAAUAUGGUCUGAUCGUUCUUCAGUGGUUCUUUCCUUUUAGGAGUCUUGCUCAUGAGAACCUGUCUUAAAACUUUUACUGCUUGAAAUAUGUAGAAAGUCCAAGGGUAAAGGAGAGUGGAAUUUGUUGUUGUUUACUAUGAAGAAUUAUCAUUGAGUCAGUUCACCUUUGGCUGGCAUCUGGGGAAAGUUUGCCUGCACGACAUGAUUAACAGCUAAAAUAUUCUUACGGCCUUUAUCUCAGCAGUCUAGAAGGUUCGAAUGAAAAGAACAUUAUCCAUAGAGGAAGUAGGAGGUAAACAUUCCUAACAAAAAUGGACACUCAAUAAAUACAUGUUAAAUAAAAGAAUAAACAAAUACGUUCAAGUCGAUUCUAGUUGUGCAGUGGUAACCCUUGUCGUAUUGGAACAGUAAUGCACAUGGACCAUGAGUCCUUGUAUUCUUCUUGAGCCAGCUUGGUGAACUUGGUCAAACCACUGACACUCAAUUGCUUCACUGGUAAAACAAAGCCAAUAGCAUCCGCUAUACUUAUCCAUUAGAUUUUUUAUCCAUUAGAUUUUUUAAUAUAUAUGAAUACAAUUUAUGAAAGUACUGUAUACUAUGUACUUAGUAUAUACUUAAUUAGUAUGAAAAUAAAGUAAAAAUACCAUAGAAAAUUAGAGGUUUAUGAAUUGCUAAUACAUGAGAUAUUUACUAGGGUGUAUAUUUACUAUGUCUUCUAAAAGUAUAAGUUUGGUAAGCAGAAAUCUCUUAGGGUUUAGCAUUUCUUUAACUGAUAGCAAAAAUUUUGAAUGUUAACUAUUUAAGUGUAUCUACAGUGACUUUCCUUUUCUUCAUGAUAUUGCCUUGUUUAUCCCUUUGAUUUAUCCUCAUGUCCCACUGAAGCAAGCUAUGCACCUUAAUGCCAUCUUGUUUAUGGGGACUAAUAAAAGAAAAUUGUCUGCAAUGGGAGAUCUGCUUUAUUUACAUGCAAAUUAAAACUAUAUUCCUUCGGUUACAGGCCAAAGAUUAUUAAUGCAUGAUGUGUAACAAUUUCAGGCAAAGGUAAAAAUGCUGUUCCUUCCUAUAAUCUAAUGCAACUGAUUUCAUUUUUGUAAAAUGGUGCAACAAAUUGAGCCAUGGCAUUUAUAGUAUCUUACGUGUUUUAUGCUGCUUUUUAAAAUUUAUAUAAGAAAUGGAAAAGAAAACACUAAAUUGCUAGACUAGUAAAGCAAUUGACUGGCUUGAAAUUUCAGGAGGCAAGGAAUAUCUGUUUUACCAUUCCAUAUUAUGACUGGAAAAAUAUAAUUCUUCUGCCCACUUUAUUGUUUCUAGAAAAAGAGUUAGUAAUAUUUAUCUUGAAAGAACAUUCUAAGAACUAAUACAAUAACUUGCCAAAUGGAUUAAAGUUUUGGAGAAGAACGGGGAUCCUGGUCAUUUUCUGGAGUCAGAUACAGUCAGUUUCCUUCUUUUGAAACUCACACAGGCAAUCAUCAGAUAUUAAGAAAGGGAUCAAGAAAUCGAGGAGGCAAAAGAACAGAAGAAGUAAAUACCUAUAGCUUGCCCAGAAGGUAAUGAGAUCUCUGAAAGAAUUAGGGUUCUAUGUACUUAAGCAAUGAGAUUAAAGAAAGCAAAUUAAAUGGGCCAAGAGAUAAAUGAAAAGUGUCUGAAGAUAACUUUUUUCCAAUUGCAUUCUUAUGAUUCAAAAUGGAAUAUGGUCCCCUUCCAGAGGAAAAGAAUUGUACUUCAACUCUCUUGUAGUUUCUUUAUCAGAACUCUGAUUAUUCCUACUUGAAGUAGAGAGCCAUUUAUUCCAGGGUUUUUCUGAUUUUAUAUCUUGACCAUGACACAUUCUUUCCUAUAUCGUAGGAUGUGUUUUCCCCUUCAUUCUUAUCUUUAAAUGACAACUUGUGGCCGACUUUAGGUCCUAUAGGAAAAUGUAGCUUGGCUGUAUUGAAACAGGAACUCCAGCAAUACCAUGACAGCUCAGGCGCUCCCAAGCUUUCUGAUUUUAUGUCUUGAAAUUAAAGGGAAACUUUUUGUUACUUAUGUAACAAUGGAUUGUGAGUGAAUAGAGUGGAUUCUUUCUACAUGGGCAGUGUGAACAAGAUUAUUUAAGGUUGCAUAUGUAAACUGGGAUAAAACUUGAAAGAACACACUCUCAGAAUGAAAUUUCACGAUAGCCUGAUAUAUAAUAGUGUUCCCAACACUUUAUCGAAGUUGAAUUUUUGCUUAGAGAUCAAUUUAUUAUCUAUUUAUUUAUUUUAAAACAGCUUCUUAUGGAGCAGGGAUAACUCUUAGGCAGUGCAACCGGAGUCAGCCAAGAGCUCAUAAAAAACAAUUUGGGAUUUUUUUUAAUAGAAAUGGGAAAUUAUAAAUGCCUUAAUUCAUUUUCAAUUAUUUCAAAGGUAAGAAGAAAAAGAAUGCCAAAAAUGUGGACCAUUUUAUUAUUUAGUUAAGCAUUAUAGUACUGCAAAUCCUUUUUCCACCAUCUUUUCAAACUUUUGCCGUGACAGAAUUGUUUUUGAUACCCACAUAGAAAAGAUUAAAUGAGUAGAAAAGAAGAUCAAUAUGAAAAAUUUAAAGGAACUGUCAUUUUUCAGCCUAGGAAGAGAGAGAAUGCCGAAAGACUUCUAAUGUAUGGAGUUUAAACAUCAGAUGGUGAUUGAUUGCUAUUAAUUUAUGUCAGCAAAGGAGGAGAAGAAAUACGUAAAACUGCCUCUGAAGAAUUUACAUUAAACACCAAAAGAAUCUGACUCUGAAAAUGAAGAAACAAGGAAUAUUGUUUGUUUUGGGAAUCAAAAAAAAAAAAAACUUCCCAUUUGAGUACACAAUUUCCUAAACAAGAUACAUGAUAAUUCCAUACACUAUGCUUUCCGAAGAAACUUUGUAAAACGUAUUUUCAUUAUUCAAAACUUGAAAACACAGAAACAAUAUGAUGCAAAAAAUUAUCUUUAGCAUUAUUCCACUAAGAUAAUUCAUUUUAACAUCCAUAUAUUCAUUAUUAUGUAAAAUACCUAUCAGUAUGUGGGUAUAUCUUUGUGUGUAUAUUUUAACAAAACAAAAUUCAAUAAAAAUUGAAAUACAGAAAUGACAAAAACACACAAAAAAUAUAAAUUAUUUCCAUUGUAGCAUAUAUUACCUUUUUCACCUAACAUUAUACUGUAGGAAUAUAUUCUUUCAUCAUUCAAUGCUUUUGAAAAUAUAAUAAUAUUCCAUUUUAAGGACAUGCUAUAAUUUAGUUCAUUAGUUUUUAAACUUUUAGAUUAUCUCAUUUUGUCAUCAUUUAAAAAAAGUGUUCCUGGAUGUCCUUUUGCAUAGACUUUUGAAUGUAUUUCUGACUAUUUUCUUAACCUGUCCUGUACUUCUGCAAGUAGAACUGCUUGAGCAGAGAUUAGGAGCAAUUUUAAGGUUUUUCAAAAAUCUUGACAAACUAUUCUGCAGGAAAAAUGUAUCUUGUUACCAUCAGCAUUUUUAAGUAACUAGUGACUAAUUGUAAAAAUAAUUGUGUUUCCUUGUAUUUAAGCCUUGCGCUAUAGAUUUUAAAAAUUUGUCCUUUUUUUUUUUUCAUUUGUAAAAAAAAGCCAUCUAAAAGACCUUAGAACCUGGUAUCAGCUGAAGCUUACUAAACCAUAUCAAGAAGAUCAUGUCAUUCUCAAGAAAAGCAUGUUUCAAAUAAAAAGGAAAUGUCAGCCCUGAGCGUUUUUAUUAACCAUCUCCCCAUCUGACUUCAGAGACAGCUUUAGCUGACCACUUCCUCUCUCGGGUUUAUUUGUAUUAGAAAUAAGUGGAUUCAUUAACUGUGCCACUUGGUGGUCAGGCCAGGCCUGCCAGUGUCCAAUAACAGGUAAUGGUUGUAUUUUUCACGGGGUGACUGAUGUUUACUUUGUUGAUGGCCCCAGGAGCUCAUGUAAUCUGAGAUAGGUCUUUGUUUACUUCUUGUUUUACUGAUAUGCUGACCCAUUUGAAACUAGCGAGAAAGAAAAAUAAACAUUCUGGAAUAUGGUACCUGAAGUCACUCUUCCUUAGUGGCUUUAUUGUAACCUCUUCAAAGGCUUUUGUUAACCCACUCUUUUCCCAGCAAAAAACCCUGAUCUGGUCUCUUUUCCAAUUAAACCAAAAGCAAUAUCACACCAAAUAAGCAAACAGAAAAUAUUGAAAUUACCACUUAAAGAGAGUUUUAUCUGGGGUUUAAUUGUGUGUGUACUCAAGCGUUUAGUGUAGGUCAUUUGCUAAUGACAUCUAGUAAUUUUUAAAAACUGGAUAAAACUGAUACUGAGCCUGUCUACAGCAAUUUAACUAUUUUGGGGGAGUAUAAAGUUAGAUUUGUCUAUACUGACUUGUUUGCUCCAUUUUAAAAACUGUGUUGGAAUGAUUUAUUAUGGAUGAUCCAAAAUAAACGUGAAGUGAGGAAACUAUUUUUUAAUUACCACUGGUAGCAUAUUUAAUGGAAUUGUGUUAUUGUGCCAGAAACCUUAUUGAGCUAUAUUUGUUCUAUUAUCUUACUCAUCAGCACAGCAAAAGUUCAUAUUUCAAGGGUGAAGGAAGUGAGGCAUAGAGAGGUUAAAUAAUUCCCCAAAGGCAGAGGGCCGCCAAUUGGUGAAUGUCAGACAUAAUCCCACGCCUGCCUGAGGCCGGAGUCCAUAUUCUUAACAGACAUCCUCUUUUGUCUCCUUAUUUCAUGAUGCCAAAUAUGCAUGACGCUGAUAUAAAGCGUAUAUAUUGGAAUCUGUAUAUUCAAAUGAGCGAUGUCCAUUCAGUCAAACUGGAAGUAUGCCAAUUACCUUCCUAUAUUCAACACUUAGCUCAGAGAUGAUGAGGCACUUCACAGUUGUUUAAUUGCACUGAGCACCCACCCCACAAGCCCAUUUUACUUCUGUUCAAACCAGGUUUGCUAUUCUAAUUUUGGAAUUAUGUUCAUUUGCAAUCUGAGUCACAAGAGUAAAUAAACUUUAUCAGUAUAUCUUUAAAAUUAUGUAUACAUUUAUAAUGUAUUUAUGUAUAGAAAUAUAUAAACACAUUUAUAUAAACGCUAAAAAGACAACAAACCAAGGGUAAUAGUUUCAACAGACACAGAAAGUAAAUAUCGCAUAAACUGCAACAUCUACUCAUAAAAAUGGCCUUCCGAUACAGUUACAUGAAGAGAGACCUUUCAUAAUCUGAGUUAAAUUUACCUAGUAAACAUCCAUACAUAUAUUGUACUUCAUGGCAGAGUUUGAGAAAUACUUUCUAUUUAUCAUUGUACUGAAGAUCUUAGUCAGUG